ACUGAACAGACUACCUAUGGGGCAAAGACUGGAGACAUUAGCAGGGCGUCCACGCAGUUAUUUUCAGAAAUGAGGAAGUUUUGACCUGCUGGAUAAAGUUCUGCUGCAGGUGGUGUUGAUUGCUUUCAGAUGGCAGAGAAUGGUAAGCUCUUCUCUGCUGCUGCUGCUGCUGCUGCUGCUGCUAAGUCACUUCAGUCGUGUCCGACUCUGUGGGACCCUAGAGAUGGCAGCCCACCAGGCUCCCCCAUCCCUGGGAUUCUCCAGGCAAGAACACUGGAGUGGAUACUGUAUUUUUUUACAUAUUGAAGGUUUGUGGCAACCCUGUGUGGAGCAAGUCUAUCGGCACCAUUUUUCCAACAGCAUUAUUUUUAAUGAAGAAUAGUGAUGAAGGAUCAAGGUAAAUGGAUGAAGAGACUGAAGUUCACUGGGAUGAAGGGGGGCAGUUUAAAUUCAAAAGAUGAUCUUGGAAGAAUUCUUUUUAAAAUGUAUUUAUUUAUAUAUUUUGGCUAUGCUGGGUCUUCAUUGCUACACACAGGCUUCCUCUAGUUGCAGCGAGCAGGGGCUACUCUUGGUUGCUGUGUGCAGGCUUCUCUUGUUAUGGAGCACACAAGCUUCAGUAGUUGUGGCAUGCAGGCUUAGCUGCUCUACAGCAUCGAACUUAUGUCUCUGCAUUGGCCAGCGGGUUCUUAACCACUGGACCCCCAGAGGAGUCCUUGGAAGAGAAUUCUGCUUUCAAACCCAGAAGUUUAAUUAGUGACAAUAUAUAAG
ensembl:lncRNA